GAUGAACGCUGGCGGCGUGCCUAAUACAUGCAAGUCGAGCGAAUGGAUUAAGAGCUUGCUCUUAUGAAGUUAGCGGCGGACGGGUGAGUAACACGUGGGUAACCUGCCCAUAAGACUGGGAUAACUCCGGGAAACCGGGGCUAAUACCGGAUAAUAUUUUGAACUGCAUGGUUCAAAAUUGAAAGGCGGCUUCGGCUGUCACUUAUGGAUGGACCCGCGUCGCAUUAGCUAGUUGGUGAGGUAACGGCUCACCAAGGCAACGAUGCGUAGCCGACCUGAGAGGGUGAUCGGCCACACGGGGCCUGAGACACGGCCCAGACUCCGACGGGAGGCAGCAGUAGGGAAGCUUCCGCAAUGGACGAAAGUCUGACGGAGCAACGCCGCGUGAGUGAUGAAGGCUUUCGGGUCGUAAAACUCUGUUGUUAGGGAAGAACAAGUGCUAGUUGAAUAAGCUGGCACCUUGACGGUACCUAACCAGAAAGCCACGGCUAACUACGUGCCAGCAGCCGCCGUAA
rnacentral:rRNA from 1 species